rnacentral:rRNA from 1 species
UACGAAGGGGGCUAGCGUUGUUCGGAAUCACUGGGCGUAAAGCGCACGUAGGCGGAUCUUUAAGUCAGGGGUGAAAUCCCGAGGCUCAACCUCGGAACUGCCUUUGAUACUGGGGAUCUCGAGUCCGGGAGAGGUGAGUGGAACUGCGAGUGUAGAGGUGAAAUUCGUAGAUAUUCGGAAGAACACCAGUGGCGAAGGCGGCUCACUGGCCCGGUACUGGACGCUGAAAUACGAAAAGCGUGGGGAGCAAACAGGG